rnacentral:misc_RNA from 2 species
GAACGCACAUUGCGCCCCCUGGUAUUCCGGGGGGCAUGCCUGUUCGAGCGUCAUUUCACCACUCAAGCCUCGCUUGGUAUUGGGCAACGCGGUCCGCCGCGUGCCUCAAAUCGUCCGGCUGGGUCUUCUGUCCCCUAAGCGUUGUGGAAACUAUUCGCUAAAGGGUGUUCGGGAGGCUACGCCGUAAAACAACCCCAUUUCUAAGGUUGACCUCGGAUCAGGUAGGGAUACCCGCUGAACUUAAG